rnacentral:rRNA from 1 species
CGUGUAGGUGGGGCUUUAAGUCGGUGGUGAAAUCCUGCAGCUUAACUGCAGAAUGGCCCUCGAUACUGAAGUCCUUGAGUGCGGCAGAGGGAGAUGGAAUUCAUGGUGUAGCGGUGAAAUGUGUAGAUAUCAUGAAGAACACCGGUAGCGAAGGCGGUCUCCUGGUCCGUAACUGACACUGAGGCGCGAAAGCGUGGGGAGCAAACAGGAUUAGAUACCCUGGUAGUCCACGCCUUAAACGAUGGGUACUCGGUGCUGGGCCGCAAGGUUCAGUGACCAAAGCUAACGCAUUAACGUACCCCACCGUGGGGAUACGAUCGCAAGGUUGAA